GCCCGUAUAGAUCAAUGCUAGAUCAUCUCUUCCCAAUAUUGUGGUUGCAAUCAAUCGAUACUGAGAAGAUGGAGGUUCGAAUCCUCCUGCGGGCA